ACGCUCGACACCUACGGGAGGUAGCAGUGGGGAAUAUUGCACAAUGGGGGAAACCCGUGAUGCAGCGACGCCGCGUGGAGGAAGAAGGUCUUCGGAUUGUAAACUCCUGUUGUUGGGGAAAAAGAGGAUGGUACCCAACAAGGAAGUGACGGCUAACUACGNGCCAGCAGCCGCGGUAAUCUGAGCGGGCUGGCAAGGC
rnacentral:rRNA from 1 species